rnacentral:rRNA from 1 species
GUGGGGAAUAUUGGACAAUGGGGGGAACCCUGAUCCAGCCAUGCCGCGUGUGUGAAGAAGGCCUUUUGGUUGUAAAGCACUUUAAGCGAGGAGGAGGCUACCGAGAUUAAUACUCUUGGAUAGUGGACGUUACUCGCAGAAUAAGCACCGGCUAACUCUGUGCCAGCAGCCGCGGUAAUACAGAGGGUGCAAGCGUUAAUCGGAUUUACUGGGCGUAAAGCGCGCGUAGGUGGCCAAUUAAGUUAAAUGUGAAAUCCCCGAGCUGAACUUGGGAAUUGCAUUCGAUACUGGUUGGCUAGAGGAUGGGAGAGGAUGGUAGAAUUCCAGGUGUAGCGGUGAAAUGCGUAGAGAUCUGGAGGAAUACCGAUGGCGAAGGCAGCCAUCUGGCCUAAUACUGACACUGAGGUGCGAAAGCAUGGGGAGCAAACAGGAUUAGAAACCCGGGUAGUCC